rnacentral:tRNA from 1 species
GCAGUGAUGGUUCAGUGGUAGAAUACUUGCCUCCAUGCAGGAGACCAGGGUUCGAUUCCUGGCCAAUGCA